GGAAGUAAAAGUCUAACAAGGUCUCCGUUGGUGAACCAGCGGAGGGAUCAUUACAGAGUUGCAAAACUCCCAAACCAUUGUGAACGUUACCUAUCCCGUUGCUUCGGCGGGCGGCCCGGGCCCCGCGCCCGGCGCCCCCCGGCCCCCCGUGGGCGCCCGCCGGAGGUAAACCAAACCCUUGAAUUGCAUGGCCUCUCUGAGUCCUCUGUACUGAAUAAGUCAAAACUUUCAACAACGGAUCUCUUGGUUCUG
rnacentral:misc_RNA from 1 species